UACGGAGGGAUCGAACGUUAAUCGGAAUUACUGGGCGUAAAGCGCGCGUAGGCGGUUCGAUAAGUGGGAUGUGAAAUCCCCGGGCUUAACCUGGGAACUGCAUUCCAAACUGUCGAACUAGAGUAUAGUAGAGGGAGGUAGAAUUUCUUGUGUAGCGGUGAAAUGCGUAGAUAUAAGAAGGAAUACCGAUGGCGAAGGCAGCCUCCUGGACUAAUACUGACGCUGAGGUGCGAAAGCGUGGGGAGCAAAC
rnacentral:rRNA from 1 species